UGCAAGUCGAACGGAGCUUUGUAUUCGUACGAAGCUUAGUGGCGAACGGGUGAGUAACGCGUUGGUGACCUGCCCCGAAGAGAGGGACAACAGCUCGAAAGGGCUGCUAAUACCUCAUGUGGUCGUAAGGGUUAGAGGCCUUACGUCUAAAUGGAGUAAUCCGCUUCGGGAGGGGCCUGCGUCCCAUCAGCUUGUUGGUAGGGUAACGGCCUACCAAGGCGACGACGGGUAGGGGACCUGAGAGGGUGACCCCCCACACUGGCACUGAAACACGGGCCAGACACCUACGGGUGGCAGCAGUAGGGAAUAUUGCACAAUGGGCGAAAGCCUGAUGCAGCAACGCCGCGUGCACGAUGAAGGCCUUCGGGUCGUAAAGUGCUUUUCGGGGAGAUGAGGAAGGACAGUAUCCCCGGAAUAAGGAUCGCUAACUACGUGCCAGCAGCCGCGGUAAAACGUAGGAUCCGAGCGUUAUCCGAAUUUACUGGGCGUAAAGCGCGUGUAGGCGGUUCGGUAAGUUGGAUGUGAAAUCUCCUGGCUCAACUGGGAGAGGUCGUUCAAUACUGUCGGACUAGAGGGUGGUAGAGGGAGGUGGAAUUCCCGGUGUAGUGGUGAAAUGCGUAGAUAUCGGGAGGAACACCAGUGGCGAAAGCGGCCUCCUAGACCGCUCCUGACGCUCAGACGCGAAAGCUAGGGGAGCAAACGGGAUUAGAAACCCCGGUAGUCCUAGCUGUAAACGAUGUGGACUUGGCGUUGGUGGGGUAAAAGCCAUCAGUGCCGAAGCUAACGCGAUAAGUCCACCGCCUGGGGACUACGGCCG
rnacentral:rRNA from 1 species